rnacentral:rRNA from 1 species
CACACUAUCAUUAACUGAAUCCAUAGGUUAAUGAGGCGAACCGGGGGAACUGAAACAUCUAAGUACCCCGAGGAAAAGAAAUCAACCGAGAUUCCCCCAGUAGCGGCGAGCGAACGGGGAGCAGCCCAGAGCCUGAAUCAGUGUGUGUGUUAGUGGAAGCGUCUGGAAAGGCGCGCGAUACAGGGUGACAGCCCCGUACACAAAAAUGCACAUGCUGUGAGCUCGAUGAGUAGGGCGGGACACGUGGUAUCCUGUCUGAAUAUGGGGGGACCAUCCUCCAAGGCUAAAUACUCCUGACUGACCGAUAGUGAACCAGUACCGUGAGGGAAAGGCGAAAAGAACCCCGGCGAGGGGAGUGAAAAAGAACCUGAAACCGUGUACGUACAAGCAGUGGGAGCACGCUUAGGCGUGUGACUGCGUACCUUUUGUAUAAUGGGUCAGCGACUUAUAUUCUGUAGCAAGGUUAACCGAAUAGGGGAGCCGAAGGGAAACCGAGUCUUAACUGGGCGUUAAGUUGCAGGGUAUAGACCCGAAACCCGGUGAUCUAGCCAUGGGCAGGUUGAAGGUUGGGUAACACUAACUGGAGGACCGAACCGACUAAUGUUGAAAAAUUAGCGGAUGACUUGUGGCUGGGGGUGAAAGGCCAAUCAAACCGGGAGAUAGCUGGUUCUCCCCGAAAGCUAUUUAGGUAGCGCCUCGUGAAUUCAUCUCCGGGGGUAGAGCACUGUUUCGGCAAGGGGGUCAUCCCGACUUACCAACCCGAUGCAAACUGCGAAUACCGGAGAAUGUUAUCACGGGAGACACACGGCGGGUGCUAACGUCCGUCGUGAAGAGGGAAACAACCCAGACCGCCAGCUAAGGUCCCAAAGUCAUGGUUAAGUGGGAAACGAUGUGGGAAGGCCCAGACAGCCAGGAUGUUGGCUUAGAAGCAGCCAUCAUUUAAAGAAAGCGUAAUAGCUCACUGGUCGAGUCGGCCUGCGCGGAAGAUGUAACGGGGCUAAACCAUGCACCGAAGCUGCGGCAGCGACGCUGAUGCGUUGUUGGGUAGGGGAGCGUUCUGUAAGCCUGCGAAGGUGUGCUGUGAGGCAUGCUGGAGGUAUCAGAAGUGCGAAUGCUGACAUAAGUAACGAUAAAGCGGGUGAAAAGCCCGCUCGCCGGAAGACCAAGGGUUCCUGUCCAACGUUAAUCGGGGCAGGGUGAGUCGACCCCUAAGGCGAGGCCGAAAGGCGUAGUCGAUGGGAAACAGGUUAAUAUUCCUGUACUUGGUGUUACUGCGAAGGGGGGACGGAGAAGGCUAUGUUGGCCGGGCGACGGUUGUCCCGGUUUAAGCGUGUAGGCUGGUUUUCCAGGCAAAUCCGGAAAAUCAAGGCUGAGGCGUGAUGACGAGGCACUACGGUGCUGAAGCAACAAAUGCCCUGCUUCCAGGAAAAGCCUCUAAGCAUCAGGUAACAUCAAAUCGUACCCCAAACCGACACAGGUGGUCAGGUAGAGAAUACCAAGGCGCUUGAGAGAACUCGGGUGAAGGAACUAGGCAAAAUGGUGCCGUAACUUCGGGAGAAGGCACGCUGAUAUGUAGGUGAAGCGACUUGCUCGUGGAGCUGAAAUCAGUCGAAGAUACCAGCUGGCUGCAACUGUUUAUUAAAAACACAGCACUGUGCAAACACGAAAGUGGACGUAUACGGUGUGACGCCUGCCCGGUGCCGGAAGGUUAAUUGAUGGGGUCAGCGCAAGCGAAGCUCUUGAUCGAAGCCCCGGUAAACGGCGGCCGUAACUAUAACGGUCCUAAGGUAGCGAAAUUCCUUGUCGGGUAAGUUCCGACCUGCACGAAUGGCGUAAUGAUGGCCAGGCUGUCUCCACCCGAGACUCAGUGAAAUUGAACUCGCUGUGAAGAUGCAGUGUACCCGCGGCAAGACGGAAAGACCCCGUGAACCUUUACUAUAGCUUGACACUGAACAUUGAGCCUUGAUGUGUAGGAUAGGUGGGAGGCUUUGAAGUGUGGACGCCAGUCUGCAUGGAGCCGACCUUGAAAUACCACCCUUUAAUGUUUGAUGUUCUAACGUGGACCCGUAAUCCGGGUUGCGGACAGUGUCUGGUGGGUAGUUUGACUGGGGCGGUCUCCUCCUAAAGAGUAACGGAGGAGCACGAAGGUUGGCUAAUCCUGGUCGGACAUCAGGAGGUUAGUGCAAUGGCAUAAGCCAGCUUGACUGCGAGCGUGACGGCGCGAGCAGGUGCGAAAGCAGGUCAUAGUGAUCCGGUGGUUCUGAAUGGAAGGGCCAUCGCUCAACGGAUAAAAGGUACUCCGGGGAUAACAGGCUGAUACCGCCCAAGAGUUCAUAUCGACGGCGGUGUUUGGCACCUCGAUGUCGGCUCAUCACAUCCUGGGGCUGAAGUAGGUCCCAAGGGUAUGGCUGUUCGCCAUUUAAAGUGGUACGCGAGCUGGGUUUAGAACGUCGUGAGACAGUUCGGUCCCUAUCUGCCGUGGGCGCUGGAGAACUGAGGGGGGCUGCUCCUAGUACGAGAGGACCGGAGUGGACGCAUCACUGGUGUUCGGGUUGUCAUGCCAAUGGCACUGCCCGGUAGCUAAAUGCGGAAGAGAUAAGUGCUGAAAGCAUCUAAGCACGAAACUUGCCCCGAGAUGAGUUCUCCCUGACUCCUUGAGAGUCCUGAAGGAACGUUGAAGACGACGACGUUGAUAGGCCGGGUGUGUAAGCGCAGCGAUGCGUUGAGCUAACCGGUACUAAUGAACCGUGAGGCUUAACCUUACAACGCCGAAG